rnacentral:rRNA from 1 species
UGGGGAAUAUUGCACAAUGGGCGCAAGCCUGAUGCAGCAACGCCGCGUGAACGAUGAAGGUCUUCGGAUCGUAAAGUUCUGUUGCAGGGGAAGAUAAUGACGGUACCCUGUGAGGAAGCCCCGGCUAACUACGUGCCUGCAGCCGCGGUAAUACGUAGGGGGCUAGCGUUAUCCGGAUUUACUGGGCGUAAAGGGUGCGUAGGUGGUCCUUCAAGUCGGUGGUUAAAGGCUACGGCUCAACCGUAGUAAGCCGCCGAAACUGGAGGACUUGAGUGCAGGAGAGGAAAGUGGAAUUCCCAGUGUAGCGGUGAAAUGCGUAGAUAUUGGGAGGAACACCAGUAGCGAAGGCGGCUUUCUGGACUGCAACUGACACUGAGGCACGAAAGCGUGGGUAGCAAACAGG